rnacentral:lncRNA from 1 species
UAAAGCGUUCAUAAAAAUUCUAUUACAAAGCUAUUAGCAUUGAAAUCAAAAUCCCAUAGUUCUCCCACGUAUCUCAUCACUCAACUUCGUUUUAGCUACACCUGCAACAACAUCUACUCCUGUACAAGUACGAUCAUCGCAGGUGGAAACCACAACCACAAACAUGCAAGGGUGAGCUAACGAAAUCAAAUUAUAUAAACACACAUACACUUUAAACAUCAAUUCAGAAUAAUAUCUCCUAAUAAUAGAUAUAAUCAUUCACUUACAUACAUCUCAAUACGUCAUAAUUCAUCAAAUCAUGAAUAAGUUUAAAUCAUUCACUACAUAUUAAUUCACCACCGAGUUACUCACAAACAACAUAAGGUCGAGCGUCACCUCCCAUCACUCUCUUAAAGAGCUUCACCGGGCCAGUACACUGUACUACUAUUACAUGAUAACAUUUCCCACCACUCUCUGGAAAGCUUCACCGGCAAGUACACCACUUCCCACCACUCUCUUAGAGCUUCCCCGGGCAAGCAUAUGCUUUCCAUCACCCUCUUGGGCUUUACCGGACAAGUAUACGCCCCCCACCACUCUAUUCCGAGAGAGCUUCACCGGGCAAGUACCAGUGCUACUUACACCACUUUUCCAGGAGCUUCAUUGGGCAUAUUUCACAACAGAUAAACAAUAUUAUACUCAAUCAAAUAGAAAACCCACCAAUAAUAAACAUUCUCAAAAUAAUAAUAAAAUAAUCAACAAGAUAAUAACAAGUCAAUCAAUUAAAAUCACACCAUCCUUUCUCUCGCUUCCUAACUAAAACAAGGAAAACGACUUCCUUUCUCUGCACCACAAAAUUUACAUGGCACUCCUAAGUUAAACAUUAUUCUCACUUACUCUCGAAAUGAGACCCACACGGCCCACCUUCACUUUCUCCCUUCAAAGAUACUUUCACGUAAUACCCAUAUUCUCUCUUUAAUUUAUUUCUCUCUCUUUUAAGACCAUUUCACAGAAAUUCCACCCAAUAUAUACAUGGUUAUUCCUUCUCACUUUGAUCUUAACCAUUCUCUUUCUUACUUACCACUUUCCAGCACUUAUUUCCUUAUAACCAUUUUACAUUUCUACUCUAAAUUUUUAUUCCAUACCUUUCUUUUCUUUUUUUUUUCUUUUUUUUCGUUGUUUUUUUACUUACAAAUCAUCCAAACCUAAAGCUACAGAACAUGAAGCACAUGCAAGACUUCCCCUCCCUUCCAUCAUUUGAUUUCACGUAACCAUUAUCCUUCCAUUCCAAAUCCUCUUUUUAUUUUCUCUCUCUUUUUUCUUUUCUUUUCCCCACCAAACAAUUCAUAUACAAUCCCCUACUCUUUCUAAGUCAUAAUGAAGAACAUAAGGAAGAAAGAAGAUAAUAUACCCCUGCGCCGUUACACGAAAUUAUCAACAACCCAAACAACAUGAAGGAAGCAACGUUCGAAUUACCGAAACAAUAAAAAAUAUUACAACCAUCACAGCACCAUGAUCAUAGUCAUUCACUUCAUGGGUAUCACACCAAACAAAACAAGACAAAGUCAGCUCCCCUUACCUUGGGCGAAGUCCACUUUCUCCCUUGCCUCACGUUGCAACCCAAAGAUCUUUCUCCUCAAGCCUAUGGUUUUCGGGUUUCUACUCUUCCUGUUGCCGCCGUUGGUCUCUCACUUUUCCUAGGUUAAUCAUGUGCUCUUCAUGCGAUUUUCGUACCCUCUUAUAUUCUACCUAUUAAGUGGCCAGGAUAAAAAAAUAAACGAACUGAACUUGGCCCAAAACGACAUCAUUUUUCAUCUAAACGUUCUCGGGUCCUCUUUUUAAACACCUCCCAAAACUCCCCGUUUCAUUCUAAUACUCACACGUUCCUUAGUUUAUUGGGUUAAGAACUCAUUCUAAAAGAAAAGAGUCUCAAGGACACCCCUUGCUCAGCCGAGAGUUAUCUCUUCCCCUUGGCUGCAUGGCAUCAUGUUCAUGAAAAUAAAAUACAAAUGAAGAAGAUGAUUCUUCUUUUCUCUCACUUCGAAACCACCACACACUUAAGUUUUUCUGUUUCUCUUUCUUCAAUUACUCCCUCACCUCCACUUUUCUCUUUUUGCAUGCAAAUACGUGUCUUCCCACUAAGUGGGCCCCACGCAGAAAAAAAUUUCUUCAAUUACUCCCUCACCUCCACUUUUCUCUUUUUGCAUGCAAAUACGUGUCUUCCCACUAAGUGGGCCCCACGCAGAAAAAAAUUUCUUCAAUUACUCCCUCACCU